UGGAGUUGGAGAGUGGCUUAACCAGCAAGUUUGCGGUCUGCCAAAAGAGCUGUGUGGUGGUGAGUCCCGGGUAAAGCCAUUCCUCAAUUCUA
rnacentral:pre_miRNA from 1 species